UUUUCAUAAGCUUCUAUUUUUUCCCUCAUUUAUUUAUGAAGACAGGGGGAUUAUGUUUCAGCAGCACAGGGAAUUUUCCUCUACGUAGAAUUUCAACUGCACGUUAUGGAGAAGUUGGCAUGUCUUUAACUUCAGAAUGGUUUGCAAAGUAUUUGCAAUCAUCAGCAGCUGCAUGUUGGGUAUAUGCCAAUCUAACAUCUUGUCAAGCUCUUGGAAAUAUGUGUGUGAUGAACAUGAAUUCUUACGACUUUGCCACAUUUGAUGCAUGUCGACUAUUUCAGUUUAUCUUUGAAAAUACUGCUGGGCUGAGCACUGUUCAUUCUAUUUUAUUUUGGAGACAGAAUCUUCCUUGGCUGUUUUAUGGAGACCAGUUAGGAUUAGCACCUCAAGUGCUCAGUUCUACCUCUCUUCCUACAAAUUUCAGUUUUAAA
rnacentral:sRNA from 1 species